AUUUGCUGUCACUAUAUUUGUUUUGACGUAAAACGUGCAUUUUUAGGUUAAACAUUUAAUAAUUCAUAUUUCUUACAUAUUUUCAUCAUUUAUUUUUUAUGAUUUUACAAUAACAGAGAUUCAUUCGUUGGUAGUUUCCAGGGUAUUUGAAAGUAGGUUCUUAUUUAUUUGCACUCCAGAUGGCUUUAUUUCAUUUGUUAAUAAUGUGGGCUUAGGCAGAAUCACUCCAACCCAAAUUAAUGUACUCUCGGGCGUAAUAAAAAAAAGUAAAAUCUGGAUGUGCUGUAUUAACUGACAAAGGUAAAUU